ensembl:lncRNA
AUGAAGAAGAGAUAAAAAGGAAGAAGCUGAAGGAUGAUGGGAGUAGGAAGGAAGAGAAGAAAAGAAGGCAAAAACCAACCAACCGAACACCACUAUCACCACCAAAAAAAAGAGGUGGGAAAUGAACAGGGAUGAAAGUUUCAAGCAGGUGGCUUUGGGGCCAUGAGCCCAGCCCCCGGCCAGCACACACCCCAGAGCUUUGUGGGAAUUACAAACAGGUGGACCUUCCUCGAGCUGGUGCAGACCUACCCAGGGCCGCCACGUGACUACCUGAGCACAGACCGGCUUCCAGCACCCUGUUGUUGGUGCGUCCUUGCUAGGCACCUCUGUGCCCACGGAAUGACACAAACGGACUAAACAACACAAUGAGAGGGCUUGGAAUGUUCUGCCUGGUGGCGUGGCUGUUUCUGUGCACCCCACGGAUCUCAUCUCUCUGUAGCCAAGGCCGUGCAUUCGCUCCCCCGUGGCACCUGGCACAUGGAAUUAACUCGCCAUUUCUAAAAUGAAACUGACUUGCAGUACAUGGAAACCAGACGGAAGGAGGGGCCCACAGGAACCCGUGCAUGGGCAGAGCAUCAGCAUCUCAGAGCACGAGAUCCGCAGAGUGUGGUAUCACCAGCGGGUCACUGCAAGCAAAGCGCACGGUCAGUGUUCUUGGACCAGCGAGCCCCAACAGCACAGGAGCGGGUGGGGGAGAGGCCGCGGUGUCCAGAGCAAUCACAACUGAGGGACACGGUUCCAGGUCCGGAGGAGGAGUCCCUGCUGAGCUUGACCAGUGUUAGGGGGCCGGGCGCAGAUCCAAGGAGAACGCCGGGCUCCAGGAGACAGUCCCCUCUGGAGUCCCAUGUCCUCCAGCUCAAACAAGAUGAACCUCUCACCGAUUUUUAAGGAUUUCCAGAAAAGGAGAUGGUAUUCCUUUCUUCCACAGGGAAGGUUGCCUUCUUGGGUUAGUUAAGGGUGCGUCUGUGAACUACUGAGACUGCCUGCACACUGUUUUGUGAGGCCCUGGUUCAAGGUCAUUGCACAGGACUGCCGUCCAGCCCUAAAUUCUCCAGGUUGAACAGAGGAGAGGACACCCCUGGGCGUGGUGGCCACUGAGUGGAUGGAAUAUGUGUAGAAAUUACCUCGUGCUUUCUGGACUCCGAAACCAGCCCAGUGACCAGGGUAGUGGGGCCGAGGCAUGGGGUGGGGUGCGGGGGGUUGAGAGGCCGUUUAUCUGAAUCAGGGUGUGGUCACACAGCUCAGAGAAGAGGCAGAAAGCUGGGAGCUGCUCCUACCAUAGGGCCUUGGAGUGAUGGCACUCCACAAAUACCUCCAGCCUGUGCUCAGUGACAGUCCAAACCUGACACAGGGCCGUUCUUUUACAAAGGUAUGCAGCCCAGGUAUCCCUCAGAACUAAAGCCUGAGGGAUGGCCUCAAUCAGAGAGCUGGGCUAGCUGCCGUAGAGAUCUCUGUGAUCCCCAGGAUGCAACCAAGGGAGGAAGCAUGGGCUUUUGCUUUUAUUUCGGUGCUGGGGCAAUUUUUCCCUUUAAUUCUCAAUUGGUCUCAUUUCUGGUCAGCUGCUAGCAGGAGGCAGCUCUCUGCCUGGGCCCACAGCUCCUCAGAAAUCCUAGUGUGCCUGUCACCAGAGAGGCCCAGUCCAGACAGUUGUCCCGUGGGAUAGUUCAGGGUACCCCGCAUGGAACCCAGUUGUUCAAGCAAACAAACUCACAAGUUGCAGGCAGGUUGCCCUCCAAGUUUAAACAUACUGUGUCCUGCCUAAUGUUUUUGGGAGGCUGGGGAGGUGGGGAGGGGUGCCAUUCAGACUAGAAAAUUCUGCCUCAAAGAAACCUGUUACAGUAAAUUUGAAGUGGACUCAGGGUUAAUAUUUCAGAAAAGGAGUCAAGAG